CCUCGGUUGCACCAGGCGCGAAAACUUUACAAUGCGGGAAACCGUGAUAAGGGGAUCUCGAGUGCCAGCAUAUAAUGUUGGCUGUCCAGAUGCCUAGAAAGCAUCUGUUAGCAAGGGCCGGGCAAGACCGGUGCCAGCCGCCGCGGUAACACCGGCGGCCCGAGUGGUAACCGCUAUUAUUGGGUCUAAAGGGUCUGUAGCCGGCCAGGUAAGUCCCUUGGGAAAUCUGGCAGCUCAACUGUCAGGCUGCUAGGGGAUACUGUUUGGCUUGGGACCGGGAGAGGUGAGAGGUACCUUGGGGGUAGGGGUGAAAUCUUGUGAUCCUCGAGGGACCACCAGUGGCGAAGGCGUCUCACCAGAACGGGUCCGACGGUAAGGGACGAAAGCUAGGGGCACGAACCGGAUUAGAUACCCCCGUAGUC
rnacentral:rRNA from 1 species